AGGAGAACUCCGCUCACUCUGAAGAUCAGAUCAAAUCUCUCAAACUAUUUUAGAUCCUUAUGUGGCUCCCACUUUCACAGUAUGUGAACACUUCAGAAUCUUUACUGUCUGUACCCUCCCGGUAUGCCUGUGAGGCAGUCACAGACCUCAUGAAACCAGGUAGGCAUGCUAGCUACCCUCCAUUCAGACUAAGUGGAAGCAGCAAACGUCUUUUAUGGAGCAGGCUACAUGGAGACAGUGGAAGCCACCACGCACAGCACUAGACUUGAGGCAAGGCCUGGGCAAAGGCUGGGCCAUAUGGAGCAUGUGGUUUCCCUGGGGACUGACUGCAAGCACAAGGGCUGGAACACUGAUUGGCUUGCAGGUGUCUGAGAGUCUCUGCCUGUAUACCAGAGCUGAAAGCCAGCAGACGGUAAGAGAAGCAAUUGUGACUAUGCCCGUGAGAGGGAGCAGAUACAGUGUCUUUUGG